GUGUCGUGAGAUGUUGGGUUAAGUCCCGCAACGAGCGCAACCCUUGUCCUUAGUUGCCAUCAUUCAGUUGGGCACUCUAAUGAGACUGCCGGUGACAAACCGGAGGAAGGUGGGGAUGACGUCAAGUCCUCAUGGCCCUUAUGGGUAGGGCUUCACACGUCAUACAAUGGUCGGUACAGAGGGUUGCCAACCCGCGAGGGGGAGCUAAUCUCACAAAGCCGAUCGUAGUCCGGAUCGCAGUCUGCAACUCGACUGCGUGAAGUCGGAAUCGCUAGUAAUCGUGGAUCAGCAUGUCACGGUGAAUACGUUCCCGGGUCUUGUACACACCGCCCGUCACACCAUGGGAUGUGGGUUUCACCCAGAAGUAGGUAGUCUAACCGCAAGG
rnacentral:rRNA from 1 species